AGAAGGAGUGGCUGGAGGGAUGAGAGGGGAGCGUGGAGUCCUGGGAGCUGGGGAAGCCGCAGGCAGCACCUCUGUCACCCCGAUACGAUGGGCACCGCUGGACCUAGCAACGAAGAGGUCACCGCAACCUUGAAUUUUCCCACUGUAAAAAACCGAGCAAGUCUGGAUAAGUGAGGCUGGCUCCAUGUAUCCAGAAUCAACGACGGGCUCCCCGGCUCGGCUCUCGCUGCGGCAGACGGGCUCCCCCGGGAUGAUCUACAGCCCUGGGUGUUUCUGUCUGCACCAUAAACAGCGCUGAACAUCAGCGACAGCUGCGGAGGGCGUUCAGUGAGAGCUGAGCCUCUGGGGACAGAGCAUAGAACCCACGAAAGACGCAGGCACAGGCAGUACCCCAGCAGCCCAUCAGUCUUGGGAAGCCAGACCUUUCCGGAUAAUCACUGGGGCCUGAGCCAGAGCCCGUGUCUGUGACAGCCACAGGGAAAGGCAGUGUCUGUCCUAAGAAGAGCCAGGCGGGCAGGUGCGGGUUUGCCAGCACGCGGGUGCUCUGCACGUCUGGGUUGGAGGGUUUUCAGCCAUUGCCCACAAGCAUAUUGCAAAGCAAGUCCUGAAGCACAUUCAAUCCAAACCAACCCUCACUCGGAGGUUCACCACGGAAAACAGGGCCUGGCAUGGAAGGAGCCCUUGGUGUCCAGGAAACUGGCUCCGGGUCUCUGCCCCGUGGCCACCGGGUGGCGCUGCUGCAGAGCACUUGGCACCGGCUGCGCUUCCUCAGAGACUGCCCUGAGCAGGCGACUGGUGGGGGCCCGGGGGCAUGGGACAUUGGUGGUUCUUUCUGACCUGCACCUGCUGGGGUUGA
rnacentral:lncRNA from 1 species